GUAUGUAACUCAGUGGUAGAGUGUUUGCCUAGCAUGCAUGAGGCACUGGGUUCAAUCCUCAGCACCACA
rnacentral:tRNA from 1 species